UUUUUUUUUUUUGGUAUUAGUCCUUCUGACAGCUCGGUGCCAUCAAAAAUUAAACGCACUUUCACUGUCUUUGACUUGCGCCAGAUUCAACAUAUGGCUACAGGAAGUAAUUUUACAAAAGGUUGGCAGGCAGCUUUCUGAUCCUUCCAAGUUGUCGUCUACUGUGGACCUUCUUCCCAGAGGAAUGCUGCUACUAUCUAGUUUUCCAAAUUCUUUUCCUAGAUAUGUUGUUCUUGUAAUUCACCAUUUACUGGUUUAUGUGGCAUGGAGUUAAUAAAGAGUUCUUCAGUACCUCUGGGCAUAUACUUUUUCGUACCAUUUCUUUGGUCCUAAUGGAAAAAGUAUUUAUUUUGUGUGUUGUUCAUUAUUUGUUUGCUCAUUUGACUACUCCUUAUCAUAAAUGGGCUGGAAUCAAGCAGAGGUAAUGGGCUGCUGUGUGGAUAUCUCUCUUGCUUUACUCAGAGCUUAAUUCAGCUCCAGAUGCCCAUAUCACAGGUGCAUAAUAAAUGCUUUUCAUAAUGAUAAUGACAACAGCAAAGCAGAACAGCAACAGCAGCAAUUAGGCACUCCAGUUAUCUACUGCUACCCACUUUACUCAAACAGAAAUAUUUCUCUCUAUAAACAGCAUGGAAGUCUAUUUGCAAACCUCUGACCUCAAAACUGAAAACAAAUUAAGCAAAAUGUAAUCAGAGAAAGUAAGUCAUCUGCUGACCAAUGAGGGUGGAAAAGCUACCUAUUCUCAAUGGGGGCUGAGCACUUAUCCUUUCCAGAUGAGCUGAGGGAAAGAGCAGUAAGUGCUUAUCAACUGGCAACUAUUUGGAGGACAGUGUUAGGGAAAGUUGAACAGGAUCCCAGAAUGAUCCAUGGAAAGAAAAUCACAGAAAUACAAACAAUGAAGGAAGGGAGGAAGAGGAUUAAAAGGAAAAAAGCUCAAAUCAAGCACACACUGAUAGAAAUGAGUCUGGUAAGAAGAUGGAAAUGCCAAACCAAUUUUCCUAAAUCCCACCCUUCCAAACUUAGUGAAGCUUACCUAUGUACUAUCUUUGUUUAUUAGCACAAAAUCGCAUCAUUCAAUACUAAGAGAUGAACAGAACAUUUGGGCAACAGACCGUCUACUUGUGACCUGCAAAGUGAUUCAAUGAAAUGACUGGGAAACUAUGGCAUUGUAUUUUAAAGAGUUUAUUCUGUCCUUUUGCUUUCAAACUGGUUUUCUAGUGAGGAUCCACAGACUUAGAUUUUUUUUAAGGGAAAAAAAACAAGCAUAAAACAAUUUUAUUAAGACAAGAUCUUGCUCUGUUGCCCAGGCUGGAGUGCAGCUGUAUGAUCACAGCCUCAAACUCCUAGGCUUAAGGGAUCCUCCCAUGUCGGCCUCCCAAAACACUCAGAUUAUAGGCAUUAGCCACCAUGGAAAGAUGGGAAGAAACAUUUUUUUAAGGAGCAUGUAAUUUCAGUCCUUUAUAUGUGUGUUAAUUGCCUUGCCAGGAGACCCAACCCAUUAAUGAUUAUUUGUAACAAUAAUGAGGAGUCAUUCAGUACCUCUUGCCCAAUUCCAUGGAGUACAUAGGAGAUGAGUAAGGUUUACCAGGAAUGACAACAUGUGAGUUAUAGUCCUUGGAAGAUGAUUCAAAAAAGAAAACGUAUAGGACAUCUCUUCUUAUUUCACUUGGGACUACUGAACAGUCUUCUCCUUUGAGACAAUUUAGAGAAACCCAAACUUACAAACACUAUUUUACUGUGAGAAUCUGCUUCCACCACUGUGAAUGGCACUGAACUUCUAUAAGGAAAUAUCUGUCCAUGCAUAUAUUUCCAUGGAGGGCUGAUCUGCAGGGCUGAGCAUGGGGCUGGUGCACCACUGACUUGUGUUCCACAGGAAGAGCCAUAACCUAAUCCUAAACUUGGCUCUAGUCAAUGUCUCCAUGAAUGUGUACUUUUCCUCACAAAAGAGAAAAGAAGGGAGUGUGCUUAGUGAAGGUUAUUCACACCAUGAGAAGAAGGGUACAGUACAAUCACAAGAAAUAGCAGGGGGUCUGGGUUUAAAAGCUUGGAUUUGAAUUUCUUCUCUGCCGUUAUCAGUUG
rnacentral:lncRNA from 1 species